rnacentral:misc_RNA from 1 species
CGCGGUCAGUUCCAUGGACUUGGCCUGCAUCGUUCUUCCUCCCAAGCUGCGUGGAAUGAUCUGCGGAUGCAGUGAAUCGUCGAGCGACGAGUGCUUGAACAUCGACAGUGAAUGAAAGAAAACGAAAUAGCGAUUUCCAUGAAUACGGGCGAAUAGCGUGAAGAUUUAGGCUUAUGACGACAGGUGUAAAAUAUUUGAGAUUGCAGUAGAAAAAAUUGUAUAAUAUGUGACAUCGAUAUGAUGCGUAUCGUCAAACAGUUAUCGUAGAAUCAUCGUGGAAUGCCGUGAGACAGAUACCAGAGAAACCGCUUCAAGAAAAACUUCAGCACGUGCUCAAGAGGCGAAAUCACGUAGAUCGGCAACGAUCCUUUCAUCUUUUUCUCGGUCUUAAGAAAUUUGUUAACGAUAAUCCAAAAAAACGUAGCAGA